UGUCUGGAAGCUGCAGAGAAGCCCUACAUACACAUUGACCAGAGCACACACCUGGGCCAGGUCCAAAGAAGGGCAAUAUGAUUGAUGUGAUGCUGUACUGACACUCUGACUCUAGAGGAACCAUCUUCCCUGUGAAUCUGGAAGCAGUCUCUGAUUGUGCUGAGCCACUAUGUAUUCCAUCCUCGUGCUUCCCUGGAGUACAAGUUAUGAUAUAUCAGCAUUGUCUUUGAGGUCUACCAAAUCUGUGGGUAUGCAAUAUACUGAAGUGUGGAGAUGGAAUGAAGUUGAAAGGACUCAUGAAUAAAAUGGUCAGCCUUGUAAUCCAUUUUCUUCACAAGCCAGUGAAGACCUGACUUCUGCAGCAGUUCAACACAGUUUGAAAGAGGCCUCUAAGGACAAAGGCUAAAAGCAUCUCCUAUGAAUUCAAGCACAAUAUGUACUUGUAGGCACCUCUCAUCCUUCACAGAUAUUUGUCUAAUUGCAGUUAUUUAUUAAUCUGAAAUGCAAAGUGUCCAAGAAGACAUUGGACAUUGGCAAUUUAAGCUGUUCUCUCAACCUUCCUUGAAGGUUCAUCCAAAAUAGACCCUGAAUGUUUGUCAUUUGUCAAGGAUUCAAUAAUUGGCAGGAAAGGAUAGCUUUGGGCACAUAUGUUCCUUUCCUCCCUCUCUCUCCCAAACAUUGUGAUCUUGUUUAGUUUUGUACUGUCAUGUCAGCUUCUUCUGUACUUGCUAGGGUUCAUCUUGUAUCUUGUAUCUUGUGAUGGCGCUGCAGAAGGUAUUCUUGUCACCUUGAACACUUUCCACUCUUUCCUCGUGCUGGCUGCUGUUUCCAUGGAAGUCUGUGAUGUGUUUUAUUCAGAGUAUGAUUUGUAGAAUGUUUGCUUAGAACAGAGGAAGGGAAAAAUAUCUUCUUCAAGAGAGAGUGAAGUAAAAUAUAUUCUAAAUUAAAAAAAAAAAAAAAAUCACUCUCUCUCUAAACCUUAAUCCUCAGCUCUACUGUAUCCCCAAUUAAUACCAUUCUGUUUAGGACUGAAGUGUUCAAUGACAACACGAAGAAAGACAUGUCAGGUCACAAACCCAGAACAUCAAAUAUUUCCACUUUUCCUAAUUAUCACCCAGCCUUACCAAAAAACAGAUGGAACCACUUUCAAAGCUUUGUGUGUGCGCCUGUGUGUGUGCAUAUGUAUAUCUUAUGAAUGGCUAAUUCAAAUCAAACUUGGGAUUCUAGUCAAGACAACAGCUUCACUGCCUGAACCAGCUUGUUUCUGUACACUUAUCAUUACCAAAAAGAAGAAAAACAGCAAUCAAGUUGCAUUCAACUCCAAAGAAAAAGAAUAGACCCCACAUUUUCCAAUACCAGCCCACUAUGCCAUACUUGCCUGUGUAACAAACAUAUGGAGUGGCACAUACUCUGGACUUGAUUCUGAUUGAAAUUUCACAACUAACUGUAGCAUCUGUAGCUUGACUAAUGCAGCUAAAAGCUCAACUAACCUCUUCCCUUUCCCCUUGUUCUUAUUGCAUGGCUGCAGGAUGAAACUUUGUGCAUAAUAGGCAGAGAGAUCCAUCUACUUAUGCAGGUAUGUGCAGCACAAGCUAUAGCUGCCCAGGAGCACCACCGUACUGCACAUCCUCACAAGCUGUAGUGGAUUAUCCAAAAGACAGUGCUGCCUACACCCAUUCCUUCAGCUCAGCCAUGCUGAGACCAUUUUAAAUAUUGCAGAAGCAUAAUUCUGGUCUUUUCCCAAGACCUUGCAGUGUCAUUCAUUACUAUGAAGUGUCAGGAAUUCAAAGGGAGAAACAUGUGAGAACAAAAGUAGGUGCCUCUAGCUUGUAGCAGCAGUGCUGCUAAUUGGGACACUGUCAUAUGUGUCAUUGACUUUUACUAACCACCAGAAACACCUCCAGAAAAAUAUAAAAUGCUAAUCUGACUUUUCCCCCCAGUUUACAGCUGUUUUAUAGUGGCUGCCUCUCUUGUCCCUCAGAACGGAUAUUGUCCAGAAGUAUUUACAGACAAAAACAAUCUUCUAGGACCCCUCACACUGGGACACAGGCAUUAAGGAAAAAUAAAGCAAAGGAAUGCCAGAUGCAAUGGAAUGAACAGUUAAAAGGCAGGAAGGUAACAUAUGUGCUUCUCUGCCUUGCUCCAACUGGGUGACACACUAAUAGGUUUCUUAUUCUGCUUUCUUCUGCUAAGAGACUGGAAGACAUAUGUCAGUUUUCCACCUUAACUGUGCAUUUUCUAGUUUGUUUGGAUUUAUGUCAUAACCUUAAUGGGAUUUAAAUGGAAUUUUUAUAUGUGAAUAAUACUCUGCAUUAAUGCAAGAACUUUAGGUUGCUGUGCUACCAGCUUGAUUUGCAUAAAGGUUUUUAAAUAUGAAAAAAGAAUAGCCAGGCUAUUGUAGAUGGCAAAGUGAAAAAAGACCCACUGGCAUAAUAAUAAGAGGAAAAGACAACUCCCCCAAAACAUUGGCUUGUGAAAGGGUUAAUUCUCUGACUCUUAGGUACAACUGGGUGUGAGAGAAGAGCCCAGAGGUCAUGCUAGUCAUGAAUAUUUAGUUGCUGGAGGGUCAAGGCCGGAUUAAAUGGUGAAGCUGGAAGGUCAAUGUCAUAGGUUUAUAUUUUAUCAUAAAACAUUUUCUGUUCUAGUGUACUGUCUGUGUUCUGUAAAUGUAAAUUUUCUGUCAAUGCAUAGCUCACAUGAUGUUACACACACCCCACACACUGGGGUGCAGAAGUGUCUGUUUCCUUUAACUGUGUUGUAGAUUUUGAGAUAUCAUCUAUAAACAAUAAACACAAGAAGGUGUCUCACAUUGAAAAGUAUGCCAUUAUGCAAUUACAUAUUACGUAUGUUUAAUAUACACUAUGUUGUCCUCCUAUUUCCAAGUCCUUGUUUACCCUUGAGUAUAUCAAGUAGGAGAAGGAGAAUACUUGCACAUUUGGUACUGUUAUUUCUUCAGAACAUGAACUUGGGGCACAGAGAGUUCUGAAGAUUUUUCCUGACAAUUUUUUGGGAGUACCACUGCAGCUCUUACUCUUAGUUCUUUGCCUUAAACCUUUGCCUUUACCAUCCAUUUGGUUUUCCAAGCCUCAGCUGUGUAUGAGCAGUUCUGAGUUACUGAUCAUUGUGCAGUCAGGGAACUUUCCUGCUGGCAUGUUAUUCAUUCUUAGUGUACUAUUAUUAUUUUUAAAUGAAUU